GACGAACGCUGGCGGCGUGCUUAACACAUGCAAGUCGAACGAAGUGGCGAACGGGUGAGUAACGCGUAAUCAACCUGCCUUUCAGAGGGGGACAACAGUUGGAAACGUCUGCUAAUACCGCAUACUGAAGCAGGGGAUUGCGUCUGAUUAGCUAGUUGGUGGGGUAACGGCCCACCAAGGCGAUGAUCAGUAGCCGGUCUGAGGGGAUGAACGGCCAAAUUGGGCAUGGGACACGGCCCAGACUCCUACGGGAAGCAGCAGUGGGGAAUCUUCCGCAAUGGACGAAAGUCUGACGGAGCAACGCCGCGUGAGUGAUGACAGCCUUCGGGUUGUAAAGCUCUGUUAAUCGGGACGCGGUACCGGAAUAGAAAGCCACGGCUAACUACGUGCCAGCCGCCGCGGUAAUAC
rnacentral:rRNA from 1 species